rnacentral:rRNA from 1 species
UCAAAGAUUAAGCCAUGCAUGUCUCAGUACAAACAAAACAAAAGUGAAACCGCGAAUGGCUCAUUAAAUCAGCUAUGAUUCAUUGGAUCUGUACACCCACGUUUUCCUUGGAUAACUGUGGUAAUUCUAGAGCUAAUACAUGCCCAUAUAGCCCCCUGACCUGACGGAAAGGGAGCGAUUAUUAGUAUCAAAAACGAUGACAGACUUUAAUGUUAAAUGUCUGUAAAAAAAUCAAUUGGUGACUCUAAAUAAUUUCGAGCUGAGCGCACGGUCUUUGCACUGGUGCCGUUUCUUUCAAGUGUCUGCCUUAUCAGCUCUCGAUUGUAGAUUAUGUGCCUACAAUGGCUAUAACGGGUAACGGGGAAUCAGGGUUCGAUUCCGGAGAGGGAGCCUGAGAAACAGCUACCACAUCCAAGGAAGGCAGCAGGCACGCAAAUUACCCACUCCCGGCAUGGGGAGGUAGUGACGAAAAAUAAUGAUGUGAGACUCAUCCGAGGCCUCGCAAUCAGAAUGAGUACACUUUAAAUCCUUUUGCGAGGAUCCAUUGGAGGGCAAGUCUGGUGCCAGCAGCCGCGGUAAUUCCAGCUCCAAUAGCAUAUAUUAAAGCUGUUGCGGUUAAAAAGCUCAUAGUUGUAUUACAGUUGUGGACUGAUGGUUCUUCACCUUAAUUGGUGUUUACUGUCACGCUCCUAAGCUGCUCAUACAACCAAAAAGUUGUUGGGCUCCACUAGCUCGCACGGGAUGCUCUUAACCGAGUGUCCCCAGUGGCUGGUAUGUUUACUUUGAAAAAAUUAGAGUGCUCAGAGCAGGCUACUUGUAUUGCCUGAAUGACUAUGCAUGGAAUAAUGGAAUAGGACCUCGGUUCUAUUUUGUCGGUUUUCUCUGGAAUCCGAGGUAAUGAUUAAAAGAGACAAAAGGGGGCAUUUGUACUGUGACGCUAGAGGUGAAAUUCUUGGACCGUCACAAGACAAACAACUGCGAAAGCAUUUGCCAAGGAUGUUUUCAUUAAUCAAGAACGAAAGUUAGAGGUUCGAAGGCGAUCAGAUACCGCCCUAGUUCUAACCAUAAACGAUGCUAACCAGCAAUCCGCCGGCGUUAUUCCCAUGACCCGGCGGGCAGCUUCCGGGAAACCAAAGUCUUUGAGCUCUGGGGGAAGUAUGGUUGCAAAGCUGAAACUUAAAGGAAUUGACGGAAGGGCACCACCAGGAGUGGAGCCUGCGGCUUAAUUUGACUCAACACGGGGAACCUCACCAGGCCCAGACACUGGAAGGAUUGACAGAUUGAGAGCUCUUUCUUGAUUCAGUGGGUGGUGGUGCAUGGCCGUUCUUAGUUGGUGGAGUGAUUUGUCUGGUUAAUUCCGAUAACGAACGAGACUCUGACCUACUAAAUAGUCGACGGAUUUCCAAAAGUCUGGUGUCCAGUCGCAACUUCUUCUUAGAGGGAUAAGUGGUAUUCCCUAGCCACAUGAGAUUGAGCAAUAACAGGUCUGUGAUGCCCUUAGAUGUUCUGGGCCGCACGCGCGCUACACUGAAGGGAUCAGAGUGUUUUCCCCUCCGAGAGGAGCGGGUAACCAGUUGAACCCCCUUCGUGAUAGGGAUUGGGGCUUGCAAUUGUUUCCCAUGAACGAGGAAUUCCCAGUAAGCGCAAGUUAUCAGCUUGCGUUGAUUAAGUCCCUGCCCUUUGUACACACCGCCCGUCGCUACUACCGAUUGGAUGGUUUAGUGAGGCCUUCGGACUGUCGCCCUUGGAUUCUACCGUUCUGGCUCCUAAGAGUCAGAUGCAAGUGUUCCUUGGGCUGACGGAAAGAUGUCCAAACUUGAUCAUCUAGAGGAAGUAAAAGUCGUAACAAGGUUUCC